rnacentral:lncRNA from 1 species
GCUUCCACUGUAACUACACGAGUUGAGGGAGUGACUUCCUCAUCUCCACAUAGGCCAUAUUGUACCUCCAGAGAGCCUACAUCAGCUUCAGCACAGCCUAAACUGGACGGAUGUCAAGCACAUUCUGAAAGCUCAAGCAGAAAGAAGAAAGCUUUAUAUGCAGAACCAACAAGAAGUAGCAUGCUUAGGACUCAGCGCUAUGCAGCAAAGCCUUCUGAACAAAGUCAAAAUGGGCGGCCAUCAUCUCAAAAAAAAGUGUCUCCUGCGGUGGAGAAGACACCGAAAGCUGACAAGAAGAAGGAGAAAGAUCCUUUAGAUAUACCUUCUGCUCAAUGGCUAAAGACUCAUGGUUUGGUUGCUAGGCGACUCACAGUAAUGGAUGCCUUAGCCCCCACAGCUGUUCCUCGCACAACUAAAUACAUUCCAAGUCUAGACAAACAUGUUGUUUCAAAAGUAUUUGAUGAUGUAAGUCUCUCUUUAUGCUGUUUCUGGGAAAAGUNUGAAAUAAUG